GAUGAACGCUGGCGGCGUGCCUAACACAUGCAAGUCGAACGGAGAUUACGGACGGAAGUUUUCGGAUGGAAGACUGUAAUUCUUAGUGGCGGACGGGUGAGUAACGCGUGGGCAACCUGCCCUAUACAGGGGGAUAGCAGCUGGAAACGGCUGGUAAGACCGCAUAAGUCGGCGAGACCGCAUGGUUUUGCCGGGAAAUGAGCAAUCAGGUAUAGGAUGGGCCCGCGUCCGAUUAGCCAGUUGGCAGGGUAAAAGCCUACCAAAGCAACGAUCGGUAGCCGGACUGAGAGGUCGGACGGCCACAUUGGGACUGAGACACGGCCCAAACUCCUACGGGAGGCAGCAGUGGGGGAUAUUGCACAAUGGAGGAAACUCUGAUGCAGCGACGCCGCGUGAGUGAAGAAGUAUUUCGGUAUGUAAAGCUCUAUCAGCAGGGAAGAUGAUGAUGGUACCUGACGAAGAAGCCCCGGCUAACUACGUG
rnacentral:rRNA from 1 species